GGUGGCUUUGGGGCAAAGUCCUUCUCACAGAUGUGUGCUAUGAUGCCAGCAGCCAGGGCGUCACCAAGGACGUUGGUCAUGGUUCGUAGUCGGUCCCUGCGGAGAGACAGCCAGGAUGCAAGGGGUGGCCAUGGCCAGUGUGCCUGGGAUGAUGAUGGCUUUGGAACAGUCUGCCCCCAUCCUGAAUGUCCCUCUUGCUGGUGUUGCCAAGUGCUGGGUUGGUUUUGCAGAUGCAGAGAGAAAAUGGCCUCUAUUGUAAGCCUUGUGCUGGGGCAGCAUCUCUCUCACCCUGCCUGUGUGAGCAGUGCAGGGGCCUGCCAAUGCCACCUCCCAAACUGCCAAUGCACCUCCCAAACUGGGAUAGGCACUGUUGUGCUAAGUGGAGGGAGAGCUGCCUCAGCAGAUCAUAAAACUCCUUGAGAUGCCUCUCGAGGAGAAAUCCUGUAGAUCCAGCCACUGGCCCUCUCGUGUCUACCCAGGCACCUCUCAUUAGUAGAAGGUGCCAGAGGUGCUGUGUACCCUGUGAUGCUGAAAGGCUGAACUGGUGGUGCGUUAACCUUCCUUUGUGGGGGAUAGAGAAAAGGGGGAGGGAAAGAGAAAAGCAGCCAUGAUACUUGGCACUGUUUCCUCUUCUCCCUGGGGGAGUACAAACCAGCCACCUAUGUGUGGCUUCUGUAACUCAGCAUCUGCUCUCUGUGGUUUCUCACCUAAUGACUCGCUUCAUUUUUAUCUUACUUUAAAAUGGCACAUUUCAGAAGCUGUGCGUUUAUUUGUCUGUGAUAAGUGUAAUCCAGCAUCAGUUUCUGUCUGAAAGGAAUCUGGUUUCAUCUAUCAAGAUGAAGAUACAUCACCAUGAACUGACCCUGGGCACCGCCCACAGCAGUGCCUGGAGAGCACUUACAGAGCCCAGUCGACGGCAAUGAUGAGGGUGAUGUCCUCGGUGGGCAGUCCCACGGAGGUGAGCACAAUGACCAUGGUGACGAGCCCGGACUGCGGGAUGCCAGCGGCCCCAAUGCUGGCUGCUGAGGCCGUGAUGCUGCAAAGAGAAGGUGGCUGUGCAAUUCAAACUGUCAUGGCAAAGUUACUGCUGUGUGGAAGGACUGAUUGGAUGUGACUUGCUCCACCUUCUUGUUCCCAGGUGCUAUCACACAUUGCCCUGUGCAUGGCGGGGGCUGGCAGUGGCUGUCCUGGCUCUGUGCUCCCCUGCGCCUUAAGGCAUGAAGAUGACAACUGUUCCUAUGGGAUGAGGAAUGGAGGAAGAAGAACAGAUUGAAGAAAGGAAACCACAGAAGUCAAUUGGAUUGCGACAGGCUCUGGGAGACGGGGACUGCAUUUUGGAAAGGCUCUGGAUGCAGAGUGGUGGCCCCAGACAUGGGCCUAGGACAAGGAGCAGGGUAUUCUCUCUGUGACAGUUCUCCCUCCCUUAGCUGGCUCCAGAGCACAGGGCGGAGAAGCCUGAUGGAGACAGAGCUGGAGAUCCAGGUUCAGGAGGAGACCAGGUCAUUAAGAGUUGCAGAAGCAAUAUUUGCAGCGGUGGGCACUAGGGAAGGGAGGCAUAGUCCAGGUGGUUUUAUUUGGAUUAUGUGGAGAAGCAACAGAGAGGCCAGGAAAACCCUUUACCUGGUCAAAUGUGCUCCAGGAAAAUGUUUGAAUUUGUGUCUUCAGGAAAGGAUGGUGGUUUAUAGUGUGAACUUUCUUUCAUUGUUAUAAGGAAUGUAUUUAAAUGAAAAUAGAAUAGGUAAAUAUAAUCUAAAAUGAUUAAAAUCUUUUCAAAGUAGGCAAGAUUUUUCUGUUGGACGAACUUGAGACACACUGUAGUUGAUUUUAGGUUGUCAAUAAAGUGUUCAGAAGA